rnacentral:rRNA from 1 species
UACGUAGGGUGCAAGCGUUAAUCGGAAUUACUGGGCGUAAAGCGUGCGCAGGCGGUUCUAUAAGACAGAUGUGAAAUCCCCGGGCUCAACCUGGGAACUGCAUUUGUGACUGUAGAGCUGGAGUGCGGCAGAGGGGGAUGGAAUUCCGCGUGUAGCAGUGAAAUGCGUAGAUAUGCGGAGGAACACCGAUGGCGAAGGCAAUCCCCUGGACCUGUACUGACGCUCAUGCACGAAAGCGUGGGGAGCAAACAGG